UACGUAGGGUGCGAGCGUUACUCGGAAUUACUGGGCGUAAAGCGUGCGCAGGCGGCGCGUUAAGACAGGUGUGAAAGCCCCGAGCUUAACUUGGGAAUUGCGCUUGUGACUGGCGUGCUGGAGUGUGGCAGAGGGAGGUGGAAUUCCACGUGUAGCAGUGAAAUGCGUAGAUAUCAGGAGGAACACCGAUGGCGAAGGCAGGUCUCUGGGCUGACACUGACGCUCAUGCACGAAAGCGUGGGGAGCAAACAGG
rnacentral:rRNA from 1 species